rnacentral:rRNA from 1 species
UACAGAGGUCUCAAGCGUUGUUCGGAUUCAUUGGGCGUAAAGGGUGCGUAGGUGGCUGGGUAAGUCAGGUGUGAAAUCUCGGAGCUCAACUCCGAAACUGCACUUGAUACUGCCUGGCUCGAGUACUGGAGAGGAGAUUGGAAUUUACGGUGUAGCAGUGAAAUGCGUAGAUAUCGUAAGGAAGACCAGUGGCGAAGGCGAAUCUCUGGACAGUUACUGACACUGAGGCACGAAGGCCAGGGGAGCAAACGGG